rnacentral:tRNA from 1 species
GUUAAGGCGAUGGACUAGAAAUUCGUUGGGGUCUCCCCGCACAGGUUCGAAUCCUGUCGACUGCG